rnacentral:lncRNA from 1 species
UGACAGACACAGAGCCUGGGGCUGGAGAUUUUCUGAGAUGCCUCAGGCUCCUUCCCACAAAUUUCGCAUCAGCUUGAGCUCAGUGGGAGUAGAAUCUGCCACCGACAAACUCCUAAGAUGGCUUUGUUCAUUCCCACCUUCAUCAUAAAUCAGGUUGGGGUGGAGAAGCAAUAUCCCUAAGGGAAAAAUAAAAGUCUCCAAGCUAGGACUUUCAGCCUGGGGCCUGACAUUGCACAGAAAAUGGCCACUGCAGUCUCACAGGAACGCAGCCAGUCAAUGGUUUUCCUGAAACAAACUCUCAUCAUCUGAGAGAACCUGCAUGCACCUCUGCUCCCUGCACCCCAGAGGGAACCAGCAGUGUGCCCUGGGAAAAGCUGGGGCCCCACAGGUCCCAGUCUCUGAACAGGGUCUCGUAUAAAGAAGCACCGUCCAGCAACUAUUGCAGCAUUCACUGGCAUCUCGAAGACAGUAUCAACGAGUAUCUACAUCACAACCCGUAACCUCGCUCCUCAAGUUCCCUGUCCUCCCCUCCCAACCCCUGUACCCACAGCUGAUCGUGAGCCUCACACCCACCCACCUCCAGCAGUGCCAGAUUCACUCCUUACUUCCCCACUCUCUUCAUAUGGAGAGUGACAGCUUCCCUAGGUCGUAGAAGAAAACAACAUGGACCACUUGCCAGCGUCUCUUUGAACAGAGAAGCUACUGCUGUCUAAGGUGGAACUCAUGACUGAGACCUGAGCCUAUCAGCCGGUCACGUGAUCCUGGCCCAGGGCUAUUGGCUGUGGGAAGUGGAUGCUGCCCGCCCUGUUGUCCUGUGGGAGCUUGAGGGGAUGUACAUCUGGCAUUGCUGGCAGGCAUUUUGUUCCCAUGAGGGAAGAGUCUGGGAGAGAAGCAACCUGGUGGAGAGUGGGCCUAAGACACGGAGAGAGGAUGUUGAUGCCGUGAGUUCCCAAUCCCGCCGCGCCCGUCAGACUUACCCUCAGC